rnacentral:rRNA from 1 species
GAUGAACGCUGGCGGCGUGCCUAAUACAUGCAAGUCGAGCGAACGGACGAGAAGCUUGCUUCUCUGAUGUUAGCGGCGGACGGGUGAGUAACACGUGGAUAACCUACCUAUAAGACUGGGAUAACUUCGGGAAACCGGAGCUAAUACCGGAUAAUAUUUUGAACCGCAUGGUUCAAAAGUGAAAGACGGUCUUGCUGUCACUUAUAGAUGGAUCCGCGCUGCAUUAGCUAGUUGGUAAGGUAACGGCUUACCGAGGCAACGAUGCAUAGCCGACCUGAGAGGGUGAUCGGCCACACUGGAACUGAGACACGGUCCAGACUCCUACGGGAGGCAGCAGUAGGGAAUCUUCCGCAAUGGGCGAAAGCCUGACGGAGCAACGCCGCGUGAGUGAUGAAGGUCUUCGGAUCGUAAAACUCUGUUACUAGGGAAGAACAUAUGUGUAAGUAACUGUGCACAUCUUGACGGUACCUAAUCAGAAAGCCACGGCUAACUACGUG